AAACAUUGGUGGACAGUUGCAGUUGGUGGGGUAUGGUAGUGGACAACCUUUUGACAAGGUCCAUUUUAAGUCUAAUACUAGCACCCAUUACAUCUCGGUCGGGAUCGAUUCUAUAGUUGCUGGGUUUGAGGACUUACCACUACCGGUGCCUAGAGAGGAAUAUGAUUUUUUUAAGCUGCGUGACGCGACCGGGAGCUUUGUGCAAUGGCCACGUGAUAGGUUGAGGUUGGUAGGAGGGGUAAGUAAACACUACUUGUAUGUAACUACUUGUAUGUAACUAGAUUAACAUGUGCUUUGUGCAAUGACCAUGUUCUUUUAUGUUACUAGAUUACUAUGGAAAAGCAGUCCGCUAAAAGGAAGAAGGUGGAGAAGCCAAAAUCCAAGGAAGAAGGUCCUCCGAAGAUGGAACAAGGACAAGUGUCGAAGAAGAGUUCGAGAGCUUCAUGUACUCCACUGGUAGAAGCCAAUGUCCUUAAGUCGCUUUUGAAAGCAUGUACUUUUCUUCACAACCGUGUUAGUGAGUUGCCUACGGGUACACAUAUUCAAGUGAACUUGCCUAAGGCAUUGUUCCACUAUGAUGAGGAUGCAAUCGCAUACAUUUCUAGAGAGGAUGUGACGGAAUUUCUAACCGGUUCCAUGCUUAACAUUUCCAUCAUUCAAACUUUCAUGAGGUCACUACAGGAGCUCCUAAGUAGUAAACCAGAUAGUGAAGCAGCAGUUGGGCGGUUAUGCCCCGAGAAGACCUCCGUAACCAAAUGCUUGCAUAACCCUCGUGAUGUGAUAGAUUACCUUGAGCGGGGUAUUAGAGAAUCAAUGCGUGCGGGAAACAAGUUCAUAUUAGCCCCUUGAUUUUAGGAGUAAGUUUAAAUAUGUCACUCUUAAUUUGUUUGUUAAGUAUAGAUGUUGACGCAUAAGCUUGAUGGAUUGAUAUUUGCUUUAAUAUAUAUAUGUAGUCUACAUUGGAGCCUUGUGGUGAUUUGUGUUUCCAAUAACACAAUCUACUACUUUGACUCGGCUCAUAUAUGGCCACCAAGGAAGUUGCUAGUGAGUAACCUAUUGAAUAGUGUUAUGAAGAAGUUGAAUUGUCGUUCGGUUGCGGGUCCCACGUGGAAAUAUUCGAAGGUAAAGCCUUGAUAUAUUGAUUUAUUUAAUUAAAUUGCCUUGAGUUAUGGCUAUACAUGACUAUUUUAACUUUGUGUCAUGUUAGUGUGCGCAACAAGACAACGGCGUUGAUUGUGCCCUGUACGUGAUGAGGUUUAUGCAUGACAUAGUCAAUAGGUGCACUGAAGCCCAACACAUUGAGGAGGUUUGUAAGAUUCAAAGGGAAGGCCCUUUGACAAGGGAAGAAGUUGAUGAAAUUCGCGACAUGUGGGCUUUUUUUGUGACAUUUGAUGGAAUCUAGGUAGAAUAUAUAAUAUAUAUGUGUUAGUUAGAUAAUGAAUGAGAUUGAUGAGUGUUUUUUUUAUUAUGAACAAUUAAUAUUUAGUUACUAUCUUUUUUAUUUUUUUUAAAUAUAUAUGUACAUUAUAUUACUUAU